rnacentral:lncRNA from 1 species
CAGCUUUGAUGAACAGCUGCACUUCAGCAUCACAAGGGCUCCUAGCCUGGGACACUUGGAAAUCUCUGACCACCCUGGGGACCCAUUACCUCUUUCACUCAGUGGCAGUUGGCUGGCCACAAGAUAGUCUAUGUUCCCACUUCAAAUGAUGAGAUAAAGAUGGACAGCUUUGAGUUUCAAGAGACUGAUGAACAUAAUCCCGUGUUUCAAACCUUCAGGAUCUUCAUCACGGAUGUGAAUAAUAAGAAACCUAUCAUGGCCAUCCAUUAACUGAUACUGCAAGAAGGGGAAAGAAAAUGCAUCACUCCCUUUGAGUUGACAGCGGAAGACAAGGAUACCCCGGAUGAUCUCCUCCUCUUUACCAUCACCCAGGUCCCCAUCCAUGGCAGGAUUUUGUAUAAUGGCAGUCGUCCUGUGACCACCUUCACCCAACGGGACCUGAACGAGAACUUGGUUUGCUACUGGCACGAUACCUAGGAAUCACUUGCAUAGUUUACCAAUGACAUUGAUGAGAUGAGGAUCUACUACAUCUUGAAUGAAGGCAGCAAGGCAACUAAAGACAUCUUCUACUUCUCUGCUGAAGACAAUGCUGUGCCUUCUUCGACCAGUGCCAUUCCUAGUACAGAGUCACGCAAUCCUGGGCCUGCUGUUUAUGCAUCACAAUGAGGUUUGUUGAUGUUUUAAAACAGUUUUUCUCUGGAGUCACUG